rfam:Mortierella elongata AG-77 unplaced genomic scaffold K457scaffold_15, whole genome shotgun sequence.
ACCCGCUCUAGCUUUUUGGCUAAGAUCAAGUGUAGUAUCUGUUCUUAUUAUUCUAAUCGAAUAAUAUGGUGGCCACGGCCACCAAUCGAUUAAUUUCAUUUUUGAACCGCGCUGGUCAAGCUCUGGCUUGCUACCUUGACCGGCACUGGUGUCCUCGGUAUUGCACUACCUCCGAGUUGUACGCCGAACUCUU